UUUCGGUCUGUAUAAAUAGCUUCCUUUUUAAUGAUCAUAUUCUGGAGGAUCGCCUGUCUGCCUGCUUGCUGCCCUACUAAGUAUCUACUCUGACGACAUAACAUUUAUAUUCUCCAGCAUGACAUCUGUUACCGUCCUUGCUUUGAUAGCAGGUACAACACUGCUGCACCAAGUCUCACAAAUUAAUUCACAACAUUGUGACAGUGGUUGGACUUAUGUUUCUGAUGGCUGGUACAGAUACAUUUCCACAAAAAUGAUGUGGGCCGACGCAGAGGUAAUUAAUUAUUUAAGGGA